rnacentral:piRNA from 1 species
GAAUUAUCUGGCAAUGCGGUGAAUGG